UACGGAGGGGGCAAGCGUUAUCCGGAUUCACUGGGCUUAAAGGGUGCGUAGGCGGGUUGGUAAGUCAGUGGUGAAAUCUCCGUGCUUAACAUGGAAACUGCCAUUGAUACUACUGAUCUUGAAUUUUCUGGAGGUAAGCGGAAUAUGUCAUGUAGCGGUGAAAUGCUUAGAUAUGACAUAGAACACCAAUUGCGAAGGCAGCUCGCUACACGAAUAUUGACUCUGAGGCACGAAAGCGUGGGGAUCAAACAGG
rnacentral:rRNA from 1 species